UAUACUGUAGGCCGUUUUAUGUAAUUUGGGGCGCUUGCUGUUCAACUGAAGUAUUGGAAAUAAUGUCUUUUUGUUUUUUCAAUGCUACAAGUGAGCAACCGUGCCUUUAAGAAGUGGUCAGAUUGAGCUGACUACAUCCUUCAUUUAAACUCAGAAACAAGGAGCCAUGGAGAAUUGCGGAGAUAAAAUAUUUCUUUUGGAAAGCCUAAAUCUGCAAGACUCUUGGUUUUCUCUUAGCUGCUGAUACGCUUCAUCUUAGCAAAUCUUCCUGUCUCUGUGUCAGGAACUUGGACUCUGCAGCAAAAUCUGACCAAUCAAGAGCCUCGACACCAUUUUCUUUCCCUUGUUUUUCUCACUUUCAGCCAUUUUCUGUUACUUAACCUCGGAGGGAUGGGGGGGGGGGAAGGCAUCGAGAAUAGUACUUUGGGAAUUAAGAUAGUCUAUAUGAUUCCCCCUCCCCAUUUGUUCAUUGACAUAGGAUUCGUGUUUUUCAGUACAGAUUUUUUCUUUGUAAUAGAUGAUUACCAGUGAGAUUGCAGAAAUGAGUCUUAGUGAAAGCAAACUCAUUUCCUGUUACUGUCUGGGAUAGUGAGAGAUCUAUUUAUCUAAGCCUGUUUACAUAUGUUUAUGAUAAAAUUAUUUAUAAUUAAAUCCAAUAAAAUAGCUAUUUUUAUGUUUUGUAUAGUGGAUCUUUAGUAUCUUAUAUAAUCCAAUGGUCAGAAUACUUAAAUUCCAGCAGAAGUUUAGGUAAAAAAUAACGGGUUUUUGCAUGUUCAAGAAAUAAAUUAUUUUUGAGGAGUGAGACAGGGAAACAGGUUUUUAUUUGCCUUAAUCUCUAUCAUUUUUCCUCUAGUCUUUUGAAGGCUGUGGACUGUUUGACUAAAUACAGUAUUAUUUGGACUCAUUCUGAGACUUGAAUGCUUGAAUUGUGAAAAACACUAACACUCUAUCAGCUGAGAAGGAAACAGAUGUGCAAGGAUCUUUGCAGGAAGGCUCAUCUGGGACACCCAGGCUGUGAAAACUGUGGAGCACAAAGCAAGGGACAGUAUAAACUAAAGCAAUUGAGAGGAGAGGAAGAUAAUGAUCAGCCCUGGACCAACAAGGCAUUCAGCUAUGGAGACAGCAGUUGGGAAAAGGAACAUAUCCAGGAAAAAAAAUGAAGCUCCUUUACGUGGAUAUGGACUAGUCCUCUUCCAGGAGAGAUGAUUUUAAAAGUCUAAGAGAGGUAACUACACAGACACCAAAGAAAAUGCAAGGGUCGCCAAUGUUUGGUGCUCUCAGGCUACUUUGGUAAUCUCAGUCUAGGCCAAUAUAACACAGAAGUGUCACCAGACCAAACAUGUCACCCCACCUCUGCAUCCAAUGCCUGAAAACUGUAACAGAGGCAGCAGCACUGCCAGGCCAGUUCUUGCUGUUUCACUGGUGGUUUAGGUAAGUGUGUGCAGAGUUUGAGUUCACCUUGCAGCAGCACAAGUGCAGUCUACAUAGAAAUAUAAUGAACAGCUGAUCUAAUGUGAAAUAGUCAAUACUGAUUACAUGUUAUGAGGACUGAAUAGCAAUUGUAUGUAUAUGUGUGUCUGUGUGCGUGUCUAUAUGCAGUUAUACAUUUUCAGAUAUCUGUAACUUCUAGGAUCUUUAGACUUAGGAAGUUCUUAACUUAUCCCUAUAAAACUUAUCUGGUUUGAGGGCCCUGGAAUGAAUGCCUCUAAGAUCACAUUAGAGGUAUUUUGAAAUGUGUUGUAUUUAAUGAGCACUUGUAUACAUUGUAUUUUAAGAACAUUUCCAAAUACUGAUACCUUGUAUCCUGAAGAGUUUUUAGGGGGCUUGGUUUAAUUUUUUAGUGGGUUUUUUUU